AUGACGUCAAGUCCUCAUGGCCUUUAUGACCAGGGCUACACACGUACUACAAUGGCCGGUACAAAGGGCAGCGACACAGCGAUGUGAAGCGAAUCCCGAAAAGCCGGUCUCAGUCCGGAUUGGAGUCUGCAACUCGACUCCAUGAAGUUGGAAUCGCUAGUAAUCGCGGAUCAGCACGCCGCGGUGAAUACGUUCCCGGGCCUU
rnacentral:rRNA from 1 species